rnacentral:rRNA from 1 species
GUGGGGAAUCUUGCGCAAUGGGCGAAAGCCUGACGCAGCAACGCCGCGUGGAGGAUGAAGGCCCUUGGGUUGUAAACUCCUGUCGGCUGGGAAGAAAUCGUUCGUGGCUCAUACCCACGGACGUUGACUGUACCAGCAAAGGAAGCCCCGGCUAACUCUGUGCCAGCAGCCGCGGUAAUACAGAGGGGGCUAGCGUUAUUCGGAAUUAUUGGGCGUAAAGGGCGCGUAGGCGGCCAUGCGUGUCUUCCGUGAAAUCCCUCGGCUUAACUGAGGACGUGCGGAAGAAACUGCAAGGCUCGAGUCCGGGAGAGGGGGGUGGAAUUCCCAGUGUAGCGGUGAAAUGCGUAGAUAUUGGGAGGAACACCGGUGGCGAAGGCGGCCCCCUGGACCGGUACUGACGCUGAGGCGCGAAAGCGUGGGUAGCAAACGGGAUUAGAAACCCUUGUAGUCC